GGGAUGGGGGGAGGGGGCCUUGAUAGAGAGGAGGUGGGGGCGGUCCCGGGGAGGCAGUCAGACCCCUGCCCUCAUCCCUCCUACUGAGGGCUCACUCUACCUCCACCCCACCCCCAAGCUUCUCUUGCCAGCGCCAGCCGCUCCCUGUAGCGCCUCCAGCCCGUUACCCCGUGGCGCCGUUACCUCCGCUGCUGGGGCGGGAGCCCGGCCCCAGGCGGCCCCGCAUCCUUCCGCCCAGGCCCACGAGCUGUGCCUCCCAUCUGCUAGCUCGGGACCCCGCGCGGGGAGAGUCGCCAGUUGGGGGUACGGCCGGCCACGCCACCUACGCCGGGACGGCUGCCUCCGCGGCGCGACGCUCCCACGCACAGGGGCGGGGCCCGUGGCCGGUAAAGGCCGCGCGGCGCUCCUAGCCGGCGCUAGUACUGGCGCGGGAGGCGGGAGGUUGGAGGCGAGGAGCUCGCGGCCUAGGCUGCUCGGGUCCCCUGGCGCGAGCUGUAGACGAAGAGAGGGGUCCGGAGAAGGAGGGGUGAAAGUAGCCGUUAGCCCGCGAUCCCAGAAGGGCUGCCCGCCCCUCACGGUCCCUUAAUAGCACGUUGCGUCCUGGAAGUUCUAAAACCUCCCGCUUCAGUAUGAAUUUUAAAUUAGUGAAAACAUAUGUGUAUUGUUUUAGGCUUUCCCACCGCGGGGACGGCCCUCCGGGGGUUACUUAGCUGGGAUGCAGAAUAGAAGCUGGGCCUUUGUCUGACUCCCCUGCAACAGUCAGCCACAGACGGGAAGGCAGCGCAGGAAACUGAGGCCAAAGGAGCCGCGCUUCCUCAGGAGCAUGAAGCAGCAAACCCUGAACUAGAAGCUUCUAACGCCUAACCGUCCUCUUGGCGCACCAGGACCUACCUCUGCAAGGCCCUUCCUGACUUUUUCCUUAGAAAGCAAUUCUGCUUUCACAGGGGUUUGUAUUUGGGCUCUUACGAAGCUUUUGUUUGAAGAAAGAGUUCCAUGGCAACGCAAAGAUUGGACGAGGUUACUGUUGAAGACCCUUCCAGCUCUAAGAUUGCAAAAUUCUAUUAAAUAAUCCCCGUUCUCAGUACUUAUGUAGACACCUCAGACCACUUUACUGCCCUCCCUAAACAGUUGAAUGAGACUUGCCCCCACAUGAUUUCUUACCUCAUUCUGAAUCACUGCUCGUGAGAGGAUUGCAUCCGCAGUCUGUGCUUAAGACACAUCUUCCAGAGCCAAGUGGAAGCGUUCUUGCUCCCUUUCUUGCCCCUAAGGUGGGAAAUACAGAGGCCGCCUUUGUCUUUAGCCUAUUGUUCCCAUGGUCAAGGGAAAGAGGACUCCUCGAGGGUGCUGGAGCUUCAUAAAUCUCUGACCUUAGUGACCCAAUGUUUCUUCAAAGAGCCCCUGUAUGAUGGGGUUAACGUCCCAUAAGGGAUCUGG
rnacentral:lncRNA from 1 species